rnacentral:rRNA from 1 species
AACGAACGCUGGCGGCAGGCUUAACACAUGCAAGUCGAGCGCCCCGCAAGGGGAGCGGCAGACGGGUGAGUAACGCGUGGGAAUCUACCCAUCUCUACGGAAUAACGCAUGGAAACGUGUGCUAAUACCGUAUACGUCCUUCGGGAGAAAGAUUUAUCGGAGAUGGAUGAGCCCGCGUUGGAUUAGCUAGUUGGUGGGGUAAAGGCCUACCAAGGCGACGAUCCAUAGCUGGUCUGAGAGGAUGAUCAGCCACACUGGGACUGAGACACGGACCAGACUCCUACGGGAGACAGCAGUGGGGAAUAUUGGACAAUGGGCGCAAGCCUGAUCCAACCAUGCCGCGUAAGUGAUGAAGGCCCUAGGGUUGUAAAGCUCUUUCACCGGUGAAGAUAAUGACGGUAACCGAAGAAGAAGCCCCGGCUAACUUCUUGCCAGCCGCCGCCGUAACAC